GCUCAGUGCUUUGACCUUGUCAGAACUCCGUGACUCAGAGCCAUCUUCUACUGUUUCCCUUAACGGCACCUUCUUCAAGAUGGAGCUUUUUGAAGACACGCGAGAGAGCACCAAGAUUUCAUCUCUGUUGGCAGAAUUGGAGGCAAUUCAAAGAAAUUCAGCAUCCCAAAAGAGUGUCAUUGUCUCUCAGUGGACCAACAUGCUGAAAGUUGUAGCAUUGCACCUUAAGAAGCAUGGACUGACUUAUGCCACCAUCGAUGGCUCUGUCAACCCCAAGCAGAGAAUGGACUUGGUAGAGGCAUUUAACCACUCCAGAGGCCCUCAGAGAUAGAGAAAUGUUAUCCAAGAUUUUAAAGUGGAAUCCAUCACUUGAAGAUCAAGCUUGUGACCGAAUUUACCGAGUAGGGCAGCAGAAAGAUGUUGUCAUACACAAAUUUGUUUGUGAGGGAACAGUAGAAGAAAAGAUCUUACAGCUCCAAGAAAAAAAGAAAGAUUUGGCCAAACAAGUUCUAUCAGGGUCUGGAGAAUCUGUCACCAAGCUCACCUUGGCUGACCUCAGAGUCCUUUUUGGCAUCUAACCUCCUGUGGAUAAGGGUUCAGAAUAGCACCAUUGCUGGUUUGUAUUAAGGUCUGGGAAUAACAACCUAACCAUGAGCCUUGAACUCUGUUCUUUGCAUUUCAAUUUCACCGUCAAGCCUUUCACCUUCCUCAAAAUGAGGCAUAAUCUUAUCCCCAGAAUUGAGGAAACGUUAUGUUAACCAAUUAGUUAACCAAUUAUGUUAAUAAUUUAUUUAAUGAGUGGU
rnacentral:sRNA from 1 species